UUUACAAUGGAGAGUUUGAUCCUGGCUCAGGAUGAACGCUAGCGGCAGGCCUAAUACAUGCAAGU
rnacentral:rRNA from 1 species